rnacentral:tRNA from 1 species
GGAGAGGUGUCAGAGUGGUCGAAUGAGCCAGACUCGAAAUCUGGUGUAGGCGUAAGUCUACCGUGGGUUCGAAUCCCACCCUCUCCGCCA